rnacentral:lncRNA from 1 species
AGACGUUGGCACUCCUUCAAGCACGUAUCCUGCUGAUUAUAGUACUGUGCCGCUCCCCAUGAUGGCAUCGUUAGAACGAGCCUAUGAUGGCAUCAAUAGAAUGAGAGAUGACAAAUGAUGAUACCGACAUUAAUUAGCAGCCAAUUCCAUGUCAUGGUGAGCGGAUGGUGAUGAUGAAUGCCGACAUUUUUUAUGGACUCGGAGGAGAUAUGAACAUUGGAUGCGACAUUGUCAGUAGCAUGGCCGUGGAAGGAGCUGGGAACCGUCAGCCACCUCCACUGCCUUAUGAGCUUAUCAGAAUGACAAUGGCCACUACAACUGCAGACCAGCAACUUGUAUUGCCGCCAGAUCAGGAAAAGCAGACGGUGGCCGACGAAGUAGGCUCUUUGGAUCAGCUGCAAUCAGUACUGAAUAAGGCAAGCUUUUCUGAUUGGUAUGACUCGCUGCUCAAUGCUGAACCGUUGCUACUGUCAUUUGUUGAUUCAGGGAUGCCCUUCAGAGAUUGUCGGAUGCCGCCAAUACCAUUUUCGGAUGGCAUUGCAUCUUCUGCUGUGAUUGAAGGAAAGAAGUAUGCGUGAGAAAGCGCGAGGAAACAUGAGAAAGCGGCAUGUAAUUGGAUUUAAUUUUUGUUACAUUAAUUUUUUAUACUCUGUAUGCAAGAUAGUGUAUGUGUUGAUUUAGUGCUCAUAUAGGUGAUUUUAUUGGGGGUUAUGCAAAUGUAAAGUUAAUCAUUCAUUGUUACAGGGAAGCUAACAUAUGUAAAUAUCAUCUAUUUUUCUUUAUAAACAUUGGCUGUGUAAAAGUGUCCGUUAUCUUUGGCAACUUGUAAUGUUGUGAAACAGAGUUAGUUUAUCUGCUUCAAUUAAUGCAAGCUGCUUUUUAUUUUUUUUAAAUUUUUUAUAUUUGGUCUUGUAUUACUGGAGGCAGUAAAGUGAAAACACACAUGUACGUAUGCAUGAACAAAUGCACAAAUGUCCAAUUAAAUACCAACUACCCAAAUGAUUUCCAUGUAGAACAAUCCUGUAUAAAUUGACUAAUGAUGGUAAGAACAUAGUAUCUUCUCAAUACCCAACUAAACACUGACAGAAAAGAUAUACAUUAUUUCAGAUUAAGAUCAAGUAUUUAUAUUCACCUGAAGUCGCAACUAGUUUUACGUCUUUCUCACGCUAAAGAAUGAAGCACCCAAAGAAUUUCUCUAGUCUUCAUAUGAUAGAUAUAAGUUGCUCUAGCACUCCUAGUUUUUCCACUGCAUAUAACAAAUCAAAAGCCCAUAAAAUACUGACAUGCUAGAAAUCAGAGCCCAUUAUUUAGAAUGAGUAAAAAUAGCUCAUAGAUUUGUGCUUCUACAGCAUAUACACACUUCGCAAGACAAGUAUUGUUAUAUUUCAAAAUUAACAGAGGCAGACCAUCCAAAAAAAACACAGAACAAAUAAGAUAAUAGCCGGGCUACACUACAUGUGCUUAAGAUGGCUCAUAUAAUGAAAUUACUAACCAUUGGAGAAGGCAUUUUAAUCUUUUCCAUCUGAAAGUCUCCCUCACUUUUGAGUCAGGUACAGAGACUAUAGGCAAGAUGAAAACAAAAAUGAUAAUCAUACAACAUAAAUGAUUAAUUUGAACCAAUUACAAUAUGUAGGGAUAUGGAAGUGUCUUUAAGAGAAUGUGCCUCCUUUGAAAUUCUUGAAAAUGCAGGACCUACUUGCACCAGGAGUGCUAAUCAUGCAUUGAGCAAUUCCAAACAGAAAAUUUAAAUGGUACAGUAGCAGCACAUGAAAAUUUACUGAUAUAAAACCUAAUGAGAACAAUUUUUCUUCUGCUUAUGUUGGACUUCAUUGGUCUUGUAGGAUAUGGGCAUGGAUUCAAAUUUGGUUGGUUAUUGAAUCAGUAGGGCUAUCUAAUUAGGCUAUCUGGCUAACAUCGUAGAUUUAGGUGUGUGCCUACAUCUAACCAUUUUCAUGCUGAAAUUAGUUCAAUAGCAGAUGCGGACACCCUAUUUAAGAUUUUCAAAAGGAAAAAAAUUAAGAAUAAAUUCUAAAUGAUGCUGACAACAGUUUGGAUUAGUUCUAUUUGCAAAAGAGAAGGAUUGAUGUUCACAUGCUGCAAUGGUUAUGUUGGUCAACAAUUGGUGGUAUGGACUACCAAGCAUUCGUAUUUAUGCUGGUAAGAUUUGCGCGAAUGAAAUUACCAAAUCAUGUACGAUGAUUUACCACGAAUCGAGUAAUUUUGCUAUAAUGAUCAUUCAUCGCCUUUAACUUGCUUAAAAUGUUAUUUAAUACAAUAAAAAGUACACAUUGAUAUCAAGAAUUUAAUAAGGUCAUACAGCACAUUGAUAUCAAGAAUUUUAUAAGGUCAUACACAUAGGCAUCAAGAUUCAAGACAUACAGUAUAGGUUCACAAUAAAGUUUUGAGUAGGGCUGAGAUUUGUAGGUCAGACGUGCACAGUCUAACUUGAUAGAAACAGAUAAAUUUAUUGGCUUAAUCUUCCUGCACUACAACAAUGCUAUUCUAAAAUCACCAUAAUCCACCAAAUAUUACAUCAGAAGUCUAGCAACAGUGUUUCUCACACAAAAGUUAAAAAGUCAAUUAUCGAGCACCCCAAUUGAAGGGUAUCGAAUAAUCAGAAAAAUUAAAGUGGUAUCGGCCAAACUUUGGUUUUCUAAAUACAGCAACUUAAAAGUAUGUAGAUACAAAAUUAAGUUCUUUCAGCAGAAAUGUGAAAAUUUAGAUAUUUCAAGGAUAUAUAUGUAAAUAUCUGAAAAAGGAAAUACAAACAAAAAUUAAACAUGCAAGUGAUUCAAUGACAAUCCAGCGAAUGAGAAUUUACAGGCACCUGCCACUUUGAACGAUAGAUAAAAUCUGAUUCUUAUGUGGUUGAAGGUAGUUGGAGAGGACAACAAUACAGUGAACGGAAACAAAAUCAAGCCUUGUGCAACAAAGAUCGAUACUGUAACCAGAUUUUACCACCCGUGCAUUGCCAAUGAGAUCUACCUUUCUUAUAUGUUAAGCUCAUA